rnacentral:lncRNA from 1 species
GGAAGGUUUCCUACCCAAAGCUCCACCCCAAACUCUGAGUUUCAUUUCCCUGCCACCUGGAAAGUAUGUUCUCGGAGUUGGCCCUCUCUGUUUUCCAGGCACACUAUCAGCUCCAACAGGCCACCUGUGCUUGACUUGCUAAUGCUUUUCAUAGGGUAAGAGAGAAAAUUCUGGCACUAUAUGAUGUUUUCCGCUGCAAGUGGAUUGUACUGUUGAUCACAGGAUUUGCUGCCCUAGCCGUGGGAGGAUUAUGUAUCCCCAUCACAUUGAUGUGUGGUUUGCUUUUGGUCAAUGACAGGUGAGUAGGAAUGAAAAGUGUUUCUGGUGACCACAAGUGAUGUGUGUUACUUCU